CCUACGGGAGGCAGCAGUGGGGGAUAUUGGACAAUGGGGGAAACCCUGAUCCAGCGACGCCGCGUGAGUGAAGAAGUAUUUCGGUAUGUAAAGCUCUAUCAGCAGGGAAGAAAGACAUGACGGUACCUGAGUAAGAAGCCCCGGCUAACUACGUGCCAGCAGCCGCGGUAAUACGGAGGGGGCAAGCGUUAUCCGGAAUUGUUGGGUGUAAAGGGAGCGUAGACGGUAAUGCAAGUCUGGAGUGAAAGGCGGGGGCCCAACCCCCGGACUGCUCUGGAAACUGUGUAACUGGAGUGCAGGAGAGGCAGGCGGAAUGCCUGGUGUAGCGGUGAAAUGCGUAGAUAUUAGGAGGAACACCAGUGGCGAAGGCGGCCUGCUGGACUGUAACUGACGUUGAGGCUCGAAAGCGUGGGGAGCAAACAGGAUUAGAUACCCCAGUAGUC
rnacentral:rRNA from 1 species